CCCCAUGGCAUAUUUUAUUGUUAAGCUAUCACAUCUCCCAAUUAGUCUCGUUAUAGGUUCAUCACCAUAGACAUAUUGUUAUGUCACCACAGACUUACUCAUUGGCCACAGGCACAUAAUUGCCACCACAGGUUUAUCACCACAGGAUAUUGUUAUGUCACCAGAGGCUCACUCAUUAGCCACAGGCGCAUGACUCAUCAUUAGAUUAUUUCACCAC
rnacentral:lncRNA from 1 species